rnacentral:rRNA from 1 species
CCUACGGGGGGCAGCAGUGAGGAAUAUUGGUCAAUGGACGAGAGUCUGAACCAGCCAAGUAGCGUGAAGGAUGACUGCCCUAUGGGUUGUAACCUUCUUUUAUAAAGGAAUAAAACGAGGCACGUGUGCCUUUUUGCAUGUACUUUAUGAAUAAGGAUCGGCUAACUCCGUGCCAGCAGCCGCGGUAAUACGGAGGAUCCGAGCGUUAUCCGGGUUUAUUGGGUUUAAAGGGAGCGUAGAUGGGUUGUUAAGUCAGUUGUGAAAGUUUGCGGCUCAACCGUAAAAUUGCAAUUGAUACUGGCAGUCUUGAGUACAGUUGAGGUAAGCGGAAUGCGUGGUGUAGCGGUGAAAUGCUUAGAUAUCACGAAGAACCCCGAGUGCGAAGGCAGCUUACUAAACUGGGACUGACAUUGAUGCUCGAAAGUGUGGGUAUCAAACAGGAUUAGAUACCCGGGUAGUC